GAAGGGUGGAUGAUCGCGGUCCCCGGCCUUUUUGGCGGCGGGAACGAGGAAAGUCCGGGCUUCGCAGGGCAGGAUGCCGGAUAACGUCCGGAGGAGGCGACUCCCUGGAAAGUGCAACAGAAAGAUACCGCCGGGCCCCGGCCCGGUAAGGGUGAAAUGGCGGUGUAAGAGACCACCGGCCGGCCGGUAACGGGCGGCGCUCUGCAAACCCCAUCCGAAGCAAGUGCAAACAGAAGGCAUAAGGCGGCCCGUCUGCCUUCGGGUAGCACGCUGGAGCCUGUCGGCAACGGCAGGCCUAGAUAGAUGAUCAUCCACGACAGAACCCGGCUUACAGCCCUUCUCC
rnacentral:RNase_P_RNA from 1 species